GAUGAACGCUGGCGGCGUGCCUAAUACAUGCAAGUCGAGCGAACAGACGAGGAGCUUGCUCCUCUGACGUUAGCGGCGGACGGGUGAGUAACACGUGGAUAACCUACCUAUAAGACUGGGAUAACUUCGGGAAACCGGAGCUAAUACCGGAUAAUAUUUUUAACCGCAUGGUUCAAUAGUGAAAGACGGUUUUGCUGUCACUUAUAGAUGGAUCCGCGCCGCAUUCGCUAGUUGGUAGGGUAACGGCUUACCAAGGCAACGAUGCGUAGCCGACCUGAGAGGGUGAUCGGCCACACUGGAACUGAGACACGGUCCAGACUCCUACGGGAGGCAGCAGUAGGGAAUCUUCCGAAAUGGGCGAAAGCCUGACGGAGCAACGCCGCGUGAGUGAUGAAGGUCUUCGGAUCGUAAAACUCUGUUAUUAGGGAAGAACAAAUGUGUAAGUAACUAUGCACGUCUUGACGGUACCUAAUCAGAAAGCCACGGCUAACUACGUG
rnacentral:rRNA from 1 species